rnacentral:rRNA from 3 species
GGGAUAAGUGCUGAAAGCAUCUAAGCAUGAAGCCCCCCUCAAGAUGAGAUUUCCCAUUCCGCAAGGAAGUAAGAUCCCUGAAAGAUGAUCAGGUUGAUAGGUCUGAGGUGGAAGCGUGGUGACACGUGGAGCUGACAGAUACUAAUAGAUCGAGGACUUAACCUAUA